AUCUGACGGCCAGCCCAUCCAGGCUUCAACGAAGCCUGCCCCGCGUGGAAGCCUCCACUGCCGGAGGAAGUCACGCAACGCUCCGAGUUCGAACCCCACCGGGGAGCUCCCCUCUCUUCCCUUUCUCUGCGCUGGUGGAUCUCCCCCAUGUGCGCCUGUGGGAGCUCCGGCGGCGGCCCGCUCGCCCACCUCCCGCACGCGCCCUCGGCCGAGGGACCCCCACCGGCCGCCCUGCCCGCGCUCGCCGUCGGGCCAAGGCUCCCCGCGGCCGGCAUGCCGCCAUCGCGGGGCGCGGGAGGCCCUCCGCGGCCGCCGUCAAGGCAAGGCCCCCGGCGGCCGGCGUGCUGCCAUCGCGGGCGGCGGGAGGUCCUCCGCGGCCGCCGUGCGGCGCUCGCCGGCAAGGCAAGGCCCCCCACGGCCGGCGUGCCGCCAUCGCGGGCGGCGGGAGGUCCUCCGGGGCCUCCGUGAGGCGCUCGACGUUGGGGCAAGGCACCCCGCAGCCGGCGUGCCGCCGGGGUCCGGAUCUACCCUCUCCCUCGCCGGAUCUAAGACUCCCUUGGCCGGGUCUGUGUCGACGCAGGGUUCCUCCGUCUAAGACUCCACCUGAUGCGCGCACGCGCCAGCACCUGCGCGAGUGCCUGGGCGCCUGCCGCUGAUGCCGCGGGCCUGGGCGCUGCGCGUGUGCCACGGGCGCCGUCCUGAUGCGCCGCGGCUCGGCGCUUCUGCCGCUGCCGCUCAUGCCGCAAGCGCCGCACGCGUCGGGGCCCUGCUGUGCUGUAGGUGCGGGCCCGUCCGCCGCCUGGGCCGUGCUUGCGCCACUGGGCACCACGCGCCACCGCUUCGUUGAUCCGUCGCGGACGCUGCAUCGGGUCUGCCCCAGCACCCGCAACACCAAUGGGCAACCGCCGGCGCCUCCGUUUCCCCAGCACCCGCAGCCCCGACGCCGAUCCCCGCCGGCGGACAACGCCCGCCGCAGAUCGUCCUUUCCGGCCCUCCUCGCGCACUCCUUUCCAGCCCUCCUCCCACGACUUUCUCUAUGUGCCUGUGUUUAGCCCGUGUCUUCUUUAGUCAGGUAAUUCCUUUAUCCCUAUAAUCAACGAAACUCAAUGAAACUCGGGAGAGCUACGUGCUAUGUUGUAAUCGUAAGUAUCUAUAUGUCGAGCUUAAUACCACACUUAAGUUGGAAAUAUGUAACUCAAGAUUAACUCAUUGUAGAAAUAGCAGAAAUUUCAUUAUCAUCUAUGUGGUUGCAAAAUAUAAAGUUCUAGACUAUCUGAUCAUACAUGUCAUUUCAUUGCACGGGUAAAAUGAUGUGUUUCUAAAUCCUUACAUGGUGCCCUAUUUUACAAGCUGCAUGUGUACCAGGGGAGCUGGCAGAGUCAGGAGUGCAUUUUAUCACUAUAGUCAUCAGCGGUGCUGAUUCAGUGCGCCUCUGAACACUUGUUGAGUGCAGGGAUGAUGGACUGGCCUGGAUCAAGAAUUCAAGAUGAUGGAGAAGUAUCUUCCCACCAAGCAUAUAUGUAGGAGGGAUGCCCGGGUGAACGGAAUUCCAUGAGCUUUUCCUUUGCAAAUUCGAAGUAUUGUGUGCCUGUUUGUUUACUUAAUCCUUCAGAAGCUAAAUCAAGGUGCCCUAAGCUCUAGGAGUUGUAUGCUUUACUACUGUUGCAGAUGUCUUCACCGUACAACAAUAGACAUGUUCGAUGCAGGACAUUGGGGUAAUAAGAAAAUUAGUUUCAAUUUUAUUAAUUGAUUCGUACUUUUGUGUCAUGCGCUCUUGUAAUCAUGCGGCAUACUUGCAUAACCUGUCCUGUAUAAGCUGCAUUCAUGUGCCAACACGGCAACACUACAUAAUCAAAUUUAGUUUAUAUUUAAGCCUAAUUUAGUUCAAUUGCUGGACAGCAGUACAUGUCUUUUUCCUUCCUAAAUUUGCAAAUUGACUUGUCGUUGUCUCUGUUACAGUCAAUUAACCUAUGUCCACUAAAGGCAGCAUUGCCAUGGAAUGGAACGGAGGGGAGUCCAGCAGCACAUGAUCCCCUCAUACAUUUUUUGCACAUGAUUUGAUGCAGGACUACUUUUGGUAACUAGCAACUUAAGAAGUUUCAGACCUACUUCCAGUGCUGUAUCAAGGCCUCGCGAGGAGGAGGUGCUUUAGCCUGUGUGAACAUUAGGUCUUGCUUCUGCUAAAUAUCCAAAAAUGUGUAAUAUAUUUACUCUGAUGACUACUCUGUCCAUAUGUAUGAAGAAAAAACCAGUUUUGUAAGUGUGAUGGGACAAAUCUGUAGAAACAAGAAAUGACCUUGCUCCACCAUAAUUCUGGCAUAUAUCUCAAACAUAAUUCUGGUGUAUGUCAACUGAAUUUAUGUUAUUCUUUUCA